UAGUUGAAAACNGACUAACUAGGUGUGUGU
rnacentral:piRNA from 1 species